rnacentral:rRNA from 1 species
CCUACGGGUGGCAGCAGUAGGGAAUAUUGCUCAAUGGGGGAAACCCUGAAGCAGCAACGCCGCGUGGAGGAUGAAGGUUUUCGGAUUGUAAACUCCUUUUGUUAGAGAAGAUAAUGACGGUAUCUAAUGAAUAAGCACCGGCUAACUCCGUGCCAGCAGCCGCGGUAAUACGGAGGGUGCAAGCGUUACUCGGAAUCACUGGGCGUAAAGAGUGCGGAGGGGGGAUAGCAAGUCAGAGGUGAAAUCCUAUGGCUUAACCAUAGAACUGCAUUUGAAACUGUGAUGCUAGAGUAUGGGAGAGGUAAGUGGAAUUCUUGGUGUAGGGGUAAAAUCCGUAGAGAUCAAGAGGAAUACUCAUUGCGAAGGCGACCUACUGGAACAUAACUGACGCUGAUGCGCGAAAGCGUGGGGAGCAAACAGGAUUAGAUACCCGAGUAGUC